rnacentral:rRNA from 1 species
UACGAAGGGGGCUAGCGUUGUUCGGAUUUACUGGGCGUAAAGCGCACGUAGGCGGAUCGUUAAGUCAGGGGUGAAAUCCUGGAGCUCAACUCCAGAACUGCCUUUGAUACUGGCGAUCUCGAGUCCGGAAGAGGUGAGUGGAACUCCUAGUGUAGAGGUGGAAUUCGUAGAUAUUCGGAAGAACACCAGUGGCGAAGGCGGCUCACUGGACUGGUAUUGACGCUGAGGUGCGAAAGCGUGGGGAGCAAACAGG